AAGGGGGGGGGGGAGAGAGUUAUAACAGCAGGGCGCGCGCCGUGGAACGCUCCGUGUCCCAGUGAGCACGCGGGAUCCGCUCCUGGUUUUGCUGCUCGGGCUCAUCGCAGCUCCUUCUCUCUACCUUCCCCGACUCUCAACACUCCAGCAUUGCUGUGCAAGCAGAUGUUCCUGCUCUGGUUGCCAAUUCUUACAAUUUUUUCGCAUUCGGGAGAAGGUGUUCUUUCGCGGGAAGGCUACAAAGUGACAGGAAACAACAGAAGAAGAAAAAAAACUGCCUCCCUCCUCUGCCUGGUGAGAGAGAGAGGGGGAGAGUUGUGAGCGGAUAGCGGCUUUUUUGUGUGUGUGUAUAUAUAUAUUUAUAUGAGUGUGUGUGCGUGUGUGUGUGUACGCGCGUUUGUGUGGACAAAUACAGCAUCAGUCAACCCCGCGGCUGGCUGGCUGGCUCGCGAGCGAAGGGAGCAGUUUAUUUACCGCCACCACACCUGUGAUGCGUUGUUCUGAGCAACGAGGACGCACGACCGGGAUACUGAUGGCCACGGUACGGCGGGAGGAUAUGUGUUGAGGAGAGAAAACAACCACACACAGACAAAAAAGGACUUGGGCGUUGUGUGAAAAAGGCGUUUAGUGCUACAGAGGACACUCUCCGGACCUUUAAAGAAAGCACCAGUGUGCCGGCGUCCCCUUCUCCGCUCCCGUGUCUUAUUUAUUUAUUUAUUUAUUUUUUGUUCCACCCUCCGAAACUUAAAGCUGAUAAAGACCCACGAAGAUGCCCUCACUUCUGGGCCCCUUUGUCCGCUGUGGGUUCGGCGCUACGCUCCUCGUGCUCUGCCUCGUCCUCGCUGGCUUUACCUGCACUGGCUCCGAGCACGCCGCCACAGCGACACUUCCUGCCGCCUUCUCGGACCUGUUACCUCACUUCCUGGUGGAGCCGGAGGACGAGUUCAUCGUGAAGAACAAGCCAGUGAUGCUGACCUGCCGCUCCACUCCAGCCACGCAGAUCUACUUCAAGUGCAACGGCGAGUGGGUUCACCAGGAUGACCACUUGAUUGAACGGACUGUUGACCCAGCCACAGCGCUGCCAAUCAUGCAGGUGACGAUUGAAAUCACCAGACAGCAGGUGGAGAAGAUCUUUGGUCUCGACGAGUACUGGUGUCAGUGUGUGGCCUGGAGCACUACGGGAACCCAGAAGAGCCAAAAAGCGUAUAUCAGGAUUGCUUACCUGAGAAAGAACUUUGAGGAGGAGCCGCAGGGUAAAGAGGUGGCAUUGGACGAGGAGGUGUUACUGCGCUGCCAUCCCCCAGAGGGAGUGCCACAAGCCGAGGUGGAGUGGCAGAGAAACGAGGAUGUUGUCAACCCAGAGGGCGACCCCAAUUUUUUCAUCACAACUGACCACAAUCUAGUCAUCAAAAAAGCCCGGCUGGCCGACACAGGCAACUACACAUGUGUGGCUAAAAACAUCGUUGCUCGCCGCAAGAGCACCUCGGCCACGGUCCUGGUCUAUGUCAACGGUGGCUGGUCCACGUGGACCACCUGGUCGUCCUGCAGUGCCGUAUGUGGGCGUGGCUGGCAGAAGAGGAGUCGGAGCUGCACCAACCCCACGCCACUGAAUGGAGGCACAUCCUGUGAGGGGCAGAACGUCCAGAAAAGUGCCUGCGUGGCCACCUGUCCAGUGGAUGGAGGCUGGAGCGAGUGGAGCAAGUGGUCAGCGUGCGGCGCAGACUGUUCAAUGUGGAGGAGCAGGGAGUGCACCCAGCCCUCACCUGGCACCGGGGGAAAAGACUGCCAGGGGCUCGACCUCCAGUCCCUCAACUGCACCAGCGAGCAAUGCCCACAGACUGUGAGCGGGGCCGAGGACGUGGCGCUCUACGUUGGCAUGGUGGCGGUGGCCCUGUGUCUGACUCUGCUGCUCAUCGUGGUCGUCCUGGUCUACCGGCGAAAGAAGGAGGGCCUGGACGCAGACGUUGCGGACUCCUCCAUCCUCACCACUGGCUUUCAGCCCAUGGGCAUCAAGCCCAGCAAGCCAGGUGUGUGGGCACCGCGGCCGCGCAGGCCUCCCCCCCACAGCAAGAAUUCCCAUUUGCUCACCAUCCAGCCUGAUCUAACUACCACCACCACCAGUUACCAAGGCACCCUACGCUCUCGCCAUGACGCCACUGGGAAGUUUUCAAUGACCAACGGGCCUCUGCUGGACCCGCUUCCCAACGGCUCACACACACUGCACAACGGCAAGCUUAACUCGGAUCCCGCUGAGUUUGUGAGCAGGCUGUCUACUCAGAGCUACUUUAAAACGCUGCCGCGGGACGUAGCUAACACCUCCUAUGGGACCUUCAACUUCCUGGGAGGGAGGCUGACGAUCCCAAACACAGGAAUCAGUCUGCUCAUUCCUCCCGAGGCCAUCCCCAGAGGAAAGAUCUAUGAGAUUUAUCUCACUGUUCAGAGGAAGGAAGAUUUAAGGUUACCCCUGGCUGGCUGCCAGACCCUGCUCAGCCCUGUGGUGAGUUGUGGCCCUCCAGGGGUGGUCCUGAGCCGGCCAGUUAUCCUCAGCAUGGACCACUGCUCUGAUGCAUGCCUCGACAACUGGGCCAUCCGCCUCAAAAAGCAGAACUAUGAGGGCGCUUGGGAGGACGUCCUGCUGAUGGGGGAGGAGCUUGUGUCGGAGCCCUAUUACUGCCAGCUCGAGGCCGAGACGUGCCGGCUCUUCUCUGAGCAGCUGGGCACCCUUGCCCUGGUGGGAGAGUCCCUGCACAUGGGCGCUGCCAAGCGCCUGAGGCUGGUGCUCUUCUCGGACGCAUACUGCUCCACGCUGGAGUACAACAUCAGGGUGUACUGCAUGGACGACACGCAGGACGUCUUUAAGGAGGUGAUGCAAAUGGAGCGGCAGCUCGGGGGUCGGCUGAUUGACGAGCCCCACGUCCUGCUUUUCAAAGACAGCUACCACAACCUGCGUCUGUCCAUCCAUGACAUGCCCCAGGCGCACUGGAGGAGCAAGCUGCUAGCCGGCUACCAGGAGAUCCCGUUCUACCACAUCUGGAAUGGUUCCCAGCGGUAUCUGCACUGCACGUUCACUCUGGAGCGGCUCAGCCUCAGCACCUGUGAGCUCACCUGCCAGCUGUGCGUGUGGCAGGUGGAGGGGGAGGGACAGAGCUUUGGCCUCGACUUUAACAUUGCCAAGGACACCAGAGCUGUUGACUCCGAGUUCCUGCUAAUGGACACCAACGCCACAGCUCUGGCAGGGCCCAGCGCGUUUCAGAUCCCGUACCUCAUCAGGCAGAAGAUCUGCAGCAGCCUGGACGCCCCCUGUCCCAAUGGAGCCGACUGGAGAAUGCUAGCACAAAGACUUAAACUUGAGAGACACAUGAGUUUCUUUGCAUCCAAAGCGAGCCCGACCUCUGUGAUCCUGGACCUGUGGGAGGCACAGCAUUUCCACAGCGGCAACAUCAACCAGCUGGCCACGGUCAUGGCCGACAUCGGCAAACAGGAAGCCAUGAUAUUCCUGGUCUCUGAUGGCGAGUGCUAACCCAGAAAACGGGGGAAGAGACUGGUGCAGAGGAAAAGUACAGAACACAACAAUAACAACAACAACAACACACACAUUAAAAAGAAGAAAAAAAAACAAUAACUGGAGCAGGAAUCGAAGAGCAGAGCUGCCCCCAAUGUCCCUCUUCUUCACUUCAGAAGAUAGUAAAUGGUUUAUGUUUCCCAUCGAACAGAGUAAAAAUCAGACCAAAUGAGGGAAAAAGGAAGCGUGUUGGGAAAUGUGUCCAUGAACUGAGUAAAGAAAAAUAGCCUUUAUUUUCCUUCAAAGAUUAAAGUUAGUCCACGCCAUGGCUCUACUUUAAGGAUCAAUCCAUGCCUUUUUUAUAAAUAGCCCAUUUAUGGCUAAUAAGGAGCAAUAUGCAAACGUAAUGCUAUGACUAAUGGCCAAUAUUUGAAAUUCAAUGAAUCAUUUUUAAAGUAUCUGCAUCUUAAAUGAAACAGGAUGUGACAGAAGGUAGCCAGUCAUUUCAGGUUCAAGAGAACAGGCGACAUAUGCAAACGGCCGGUUUGUUAUGACAUCAUCUCCGACACUGAGCACACGUUCAACAAGGUCGUCAGGGUCUGCGAGCGUCCGCGAGCGUCCACUCCCAAACCCAGUGACACUCCUCACAUGUCCGUCUCAUAUGUAUCCAUUUCCUACAACACGCGCACACACAUAGACGGCUUGUAGCACAUCCUGGACCUGCAGGUUUUUAAAAUAGAUUGUAUGUCAGAGGCCCAAAGCACCCCGUCUCAUCUUGUUUGUGUGUGUUUUUCUUAGUCCAGCCGGUAUCACUACUGUGAAUGUAACAUCUUGACAUCUUGAUUCAGCGAGACGCUUCGCAGCUUUCCUGCUUCUAAAUCGAUAUAUGUGGGGUUUGGGUUUCUUUGAAGUUUUUCGAGGGAGGAGUGAGUAAUAUCUUCACUAAAAGUCAUAUUACAGAAGCCAUUUCUGUGGAAGGCCUGUGAUUUUGAUUGGUUUAUUUCACGUCUCGCAUUAGCGCGGUCGCUUAACUCGGGGGGGGAAGAGGGGGGGGUUCUGUUUUCCACAGCUAAUGAAGGAGCCAUAGGGGCCGAAAGGCGUUCCAGCUGCACACACGUGAACACUGAAUGUCGUCAACUCUCAUUUCUAAAAUGACAUUUUUCCUCCUUAUUACCUUAAUUCUGUAACAGAGAGGAAGCUGAACAUAAAAGCGUGGCCAAAAGGGUUAUUAUCCUGUAUGAAUAAUGCAGAGCACUUUCCCACAGAAGAUCUGACAACAAAUUCUUUUACUCAUGUUGAAAGAGUAGCUGAGCUGCUUUGUUUUUAUAAUUCAUAAAGCAAUGUUGGUGGGAAUUCUAUAUUUGCUGUACGGCAAACAGUAUUUCCACAUCAGAAGAAACGGCUGUCUCUCAGAGAAAGUUGAAGAGUGGCUUAUACAUAAUGUCACGCCUCUGCUCACAAAAGAUGCUUUGAAAGGUUUUUUUUUUUUUAAUGUUUUUAUUUCUGGCCAGGACGGCAAAAAAUGAUCCAGCAAAUUCAUGCAAACGAAUCACAAACUGCAACUACGCACUUGCUUAUCAUAUUUUGCUACUUUGCAUUAAUUUACACCGUUUUUUGUUUUUUUUAAAUAUUAAUGGAUGUGUCGGGUCAGGCAACAUGAAACACACAGUAUCUUUAAAAGUCCAGUGGUUCAGUAAUUAUUCUUUAGGAAAAAAAAAAAAAAAAAAAAAAAAGUGUGAGCAAUCCCAAACUAGCCAUAGUUCUCUCUCCGUCUGCCUCAGGGUUGCAUGUGAAGUUGUCUGUUAACGUUGCAAAAGAGAGCCCCCCCUUCUUCAUUCAAACAGAGAACACCUUCCCAUCCCGCCGAGCUCCCGUGGCUUCAACCUUUAACACGAACAGGAGCCUUUUUGUAAUGAUUGUCAGAUAUUUGGAAUGUACAUUUAUGUAAAAGUUUGUCUCCCUUUGGUUUCUUUUAAGUCUUAAAAGUGAGUAUGUAUUUGUGAGGCAUCUCGGCACACCUUUUUCAUCCCACGCUUCCCUCUCAACCCAAACGAGUUUAUACAAUCCCCCCCCGACCCCAAUAUAUUUGAUGUGGAGAUGCCAUGAAAUCAAAUUUUACUCCUUGUUUUUUAUUCACUUUAAAGAAAACGGAAUUGAGCCCCUUUCGGACAAAAAAAGGCUAUAACACCUUAAAUAAAUGUUUUCAUGUUGAAGUGGAUCAUCGUCACAUGUAAUAUGUAAAUACUUUUUCUAUACCAGCCGUGUGCUGUCACUUUGCAUACUGUAUAUCAGCAGAAUUGGUAACCAAAGUUUUAUGAUUAUCAUUUUGAGGGCCACUACAUCCUCACAUUGUAUCCAUUCGAUAUUGUUUGAGCGUUGUUUUUACUCGCAGCUAGUAAUAGAAACAAGUCAGAGUUGCUGUCUCUUCUGAAAAACUGCGGACUUCACGUCCAAAUCGUUUCCUUUCUCCCACGUCCUCGCUUUUGUCUUUGAAGCAAGUUUGAUGCUGUCUGUUCAAGCGGUAACAUGUGUCGGUUUAUUUUAUCACUUUGUAAAGAAAUGUAAAUUAUAUUUUAAUAUGAAGCCAAAAAAAGACACUUAACUGGCGCAGCAUUUGUCAAGUCUAAACCGUGACGUGUUUGCCUAUAUACUGUUCUUUGGCGAUCUAGCAGUGACGACUUUUUGCAGUGUUAAGGGUUUAGAGACUGUUUUACAGGAAGUUUCUAUACAUGUUUUGUUUGUCCUUACUCUGCAUACGUCUACCUGAUUAUUUCUCUAACUGGAAGCAUUUAAACACAAGGUGGAAACGGUCACUAUUGCUUAGUGUGUCACCACACUGGGACUGCGUGGAGGCUGAGUGGAGAAAGAGGACAUCAGUUCUUCAAGCCAGUGUUAACGCAGCAUGUUUUCGAUGAGCCAUGGCAGUUGUACAGUCAGACUGUGUGUGAGAAACUCUAUCACCCCCCCCUCCCGCCAUUGUCUCAGAUGUGUUGUCUAAGCACAUUUCAGUAAUGUUAUUCACCAGCCGCCAGGAUGUUGAGCAUCUAUCUUCAUAUCUAACUUGUCCAACAAAUCUAACAAAUCUGCAAUUACUGUCUGUGUGUGUGAUAAAUACAGUUCCCUUCAUGAUGUGAUCUGGGCCCGAUAGUUGUGCAAAAGACGGUCAGUGACAUAAAUGCUUCGUUCAAGGGUUUAUAAGUUUGACCCCCUAGUUAUGGGGGUCAAAGUUGUUCCAUUCACAUCUGUACUUUCUGUGUUGCUCAUUGCUACUCAGUGUCAAGGACAUCAGAGUGUGUGUGUGUGUGUGUGUGUGUGUGUGUGUGUGUGUGUGUGUGUGUGUGUGUGUGUGUGUUUGUGUGAGAGAGUGACUGAAUGAGACUGGGUGUAUGUAUACUUCCCCAUCACUCUGACUGGAUGAUUUUCUUUUUCAAAUAUGAACAAUAGACUUAUGUACUUGUGAACGUUUUUUUUUUUUCCAUUUAGUUCCUUGAUUCAAUGUUCCUUGCCUUUCUGCAAGUCAAAAAUGCUGUAUUUAUUACAUGCCACAGCGCUUAUGCAAUUGUAUAAUCCUUUUUUUGUUCCGUUCGGUUUUUUUUUACCUCUUGUGUUCCUUAUCGUCGAUGUAAAUUGUUGUCAAAACUUUUGUGGCAAUGGAAAAACUUCUGCUAAGGGAGAUUUUCUGUACUUUUUUGGACAAUGAUAUGGAUUUGUGGGUAGAAUUUUGGAAAUUCGUUUCUAAGUGCUUUCAAGUAUUUACUUGGCCUUAUGUAUAUAUAUAUCUAUGACAUUUCAGAAAGGUAUGUAUAGUAAUUCAACCUGAAAUUGUUGUAAAUAAAUUAUAUAUUGUUAAUUGAAGGACUGGAUCUUUUUACUUGAUGAUUACAUUUUGUGGCUCAUCAGUUCAUUUUAUUAAAAAAAAAAAGGGACAUACAUGGAAAAAUAAAUGUCGAGCUUUAAAAAAAUUAAGCUUAAAAGAAUAGUUUUAUAUUUUGGAAAAUACAAUUAUUCACUUUGUUUGGUGGGUUAAAAAGAAGUCGACACAGUUGGCAUAGUAUAAAGACUGGAAGCUAGCGUGUCAAACUGCCUCCCUCCACUACACAGAGAGAGCAACAGUUGCUAAUGUUAGUUUAUGUUAGCAGACUCCAUCUUUAAACUAACAGUCGGCUUCUAGCAUAACACACAGAAAAUUAAAUAACAAUGACACCUUUAAAAACUCACUCAAUAGCUCGUCACAUCUCAUUCAGUAGUUUAAUUUGCAGAUGCAGAGACCUAAAAAUUACAAUUUGUUAUUUAUACUCAUAGUUAAUGAGAGUAACUAUCUCUUCGAUGAACAAGUUUAAAUUCCGCCCAAUACGACCAUGCAGCAUCUCUGUUGGUUGCCUGGCAACCUCACAUCGACAAAAAGCGUCCCAACUCUUUUGGAGUCAGGGUUGCAGCCUUCUCAUACCAGUCAGUAGAUACUCGUAGUCUCAGGAUGAUGACCAUGAGAAUACGGUGCCAACGAGAACAAUUUAACAUCGCUUACAUGAAACGUGCGUAAAAUAACAAGUAAGUUGACGUUCAUGAUUAAAUGGAAAUUGCAAAAGCAUUCAUUUCUACAUCUAGAAGAGGGAUUCAACUACGGUCUUUGUUGCAGCAGCUGUUCGUGAAAAGCUUGAUUUUUAGAAGUAAAUUGUACUUACGAUGAAAUCUUAGAGAGCCCAUUAUCCUGUUGUUGGGGAGCAGGUGUUGGUGAGAACAAAGACAACAAAAACAUCAGUCGAGAGAGAAUCUUACAGAUGGGUUCGCCGCAGAAGCAUUUGAGCCCAGUGAUCCAGCCCGGCACGUUGCAUUACAGAUUAAUUUUAUUUGAAACGUCCAGCAGCUAUAAAAACAGCACUUACAGGCCCAUUCUGAAGCAAUAUAAAUACAUAUUCAACCACGGCUUGAAAGUACUCGAAGGAACAAUCACAACAUCGUAGAAACGCCAGGACAAAAAUCACCACAUGAGAUUUUUCUGACCGAUGAAUGAUAUUUGAAGUGAGAAACAGUUUAAAAAAAAAAAAAAAAAAGAUAAUCGCACUCGGUCGUCCACAUCUGUGACUAUUAAAAUCAAUUAAGAAUUAAUACAUGACAGCAAAUUACAGUUAUUAACUGCAAUGUGUGCCGCUGACGUGCCGGAGUCAAAGUGGCAAGUAAGCGGUUAGUGCUUCAGUUGAGGAGUGCAGGGGUCCGGUCAGGCAGAAAUGGGACACCCCCUUUUCUGCUUGACUGGACCCCCAUUAAGUUAACAGGCACUGCAGUGAGAGUCGCUGAGUGGGCCGGGGUCCCGGGUGGGGCCACUGCUUCUCUACACUUAGUGCAGGAGUGGUGGCAGAUCAUUAAUGCAAUACGUGAGAUUAUUAGAGAGCUAAGUGACUCCUCCAAGUUGGAAGACACUGACUUGAUCUCACUUCAGACUGAACGAGGAGGAGAUUAGUAGAGUGGUGAGAAUUUCUGUCACUGACGGCUACAGUUAGAUCUAGACGAUGAACUGCAGCUGCGGUUUAACUGUCCUAAUCUAUAGAUGACUUAUACGUCAACAAGUUAGUGAUGGCGUGCAAUAAUUCCUUGACUACUUCCAGUUGUACAACACAGCAUUUGGUAUUACAGACAGUAACAUUUGAACACAGUGGAGUAACAGCACAUGAAGCUAAUGCUAAAGGGACAGUGUGCUCUAAAAUCAAAAUAUAUAUUUCAUCUCUCAUCUGUAAGCGCUCUUCAUCCAUCCAGAUUGUUUUGGUGAGAGUUGCAGAGUUUUGGAUAUACUGAUUGAUGGAAUGAGAUAAUCAAGACAGUUUGAUGUAGGAACUAUUUUCUCUCCAUAUCACCACGCCGAAGGAAACGUGCAUCUACUCAAGGUAAAGGUACACGUCCUUCUGCGUGGUGACACGCAAAGAAAAUGGUUCCUGCACGAAACUGCUCACAGCAAUGCUGCAGUCAAUGUAGGGGAGUGACAUGAAUGCCAACCUAAUGCUUCAGCUUCAUAUGGCGUUGACUCAGAAACUCGUGACCCAAAGGUUGUUGAGAGGGCAAUGACAUGCACUCACCCAGUAGGAGAGGCAUUUUUCUGAUCAUUCGUACUGCAAGGUCUGUGGAUUAUCUUGAGUAAACAGGCCCCACAAACCAAGUCGUAUAAGAUU